AUUGAACGCUGGCGGCGUGCCUAACACAUGCAAGUCGAGCGAUUCUCUUCGGAGAAGAGCGGCGGACGGGUGAGUAACGCGUGGGUAACCUGCCCUGUACACACGGAUAACAUACCGAAAGGUAUGCUAAUACGAGAUAAUAUGCUUUUAUCGCAUGGUAGAAGUAUCAAAGCUCCGGCGGUACAGGAUGGACCCGCGGCUGAUUAGCUAGUUGGUAAGGUAACGGCUUACCAAGGCGACGAUCAGUAGCCGACCUGAGAGGGUGAUCGGCCACAUUGGAACUGAGACACGGUACAAACUCCUACGGGAGGCAGCAGUGGGGAAUAUUGCACAAUGGGCGAAAGCCUGAUGCAGCAACGCCGCGUGAGCGAUGAAGGCCUUCGGGUCGUAAAGCUCUGUCCUCAAGGAAGAUAAUGACGGUACUUGAGGAGGAAGCCCCGGCUAACUACGUGCCAGCCGCCGCAGUAA
rnacentral:rRNA from 1 species